rnacentral:lncRNA from 1 species
AAAAAAAAAAAAAAAAAACUAAAACAAUCAAAAAGCAAGAAAAGUCGCCACGUGGCGACAAGUCGGCAAAGCUGAACAUGACACGCGUCUAACUUGGCGGCCAAAAAAGAAAUGGAUGUCACGCUCGUCUGACGUGUCCAUUCCCCAAGCAUCACCUCCCAUGACUCGUGGGGUAUCACGUGUCUCGAUGUGUCUGUUUACAACUUUACAACAACAUCGAACGGCUAAUAAGGUCUCAAAGUCUUUGAGCUCAAACUGAGUUACAGCCGUGAAUCUAUCUACUACUUCUGCUUAGUUAUGUUCCGGUUCUUGAAAGUCAACGAGUCAAUCAAAGCCUGUUACAUUCUAUAAGCACGUGCGUUAGUUGGUUACUGUAUAAGAACGUACGAUAUUUUCCUUUUACUUGUAUCGUUGAUUUUUUUUUGUUAUGUCGACGGCUGGAAGAAGAAGAAGAAGAAGAACGAUAUUUCAAUUUUAGUUGGUUUGGUUUUUUUGGUUUUAUAUGCAGCAUUCAGAUAUUUCUAGUGAAUCAAAAUUGGUUAUAAAUUUCGUUUUAUUAUCAACAUAUAUACAUAACAACAAAACAAGAACGAGUGGUCCAUGAAUAACCAAAUAAUGGAAAUUGCGAUUAAUAUUUAGCGUAAGAAGAAGCAAGGCAAAACCAAGGAUUAGGUCAGCCAUGACUUAACCACGUGGAAUUGUUGCGUUGCCUUUUCCUCUCCUUCACAAGCAACCACCCUCCUCCCACACGCCAUCCUCACAUUUUCUUGUUCCCCGUUUGGUUUUUUUCUCUCUCUCGUUUAGUUUGUUGACUAUAGUCUAUAGGAGGAUUAUCUAUAUGUGCAAACAUCAUUAUUAGCCCAAUACUCUAUCUUGAGGGCUAUUUUGUCUUGAGUUUUAGUGCCUGGCCUGUGGGCUUAUAAGUCCAAUGAGAGAUACAUAAACCAAAUAAACAAAAAUUUGUGAACCCAUGAUUUAUGUCAUAUAACAACUUCUAGGAAGAAGAGAAAAUCUUGGUACAAAUAAAAUAUGUCUCAGUAGUCCAUAUCUACUAACAAAAAAAGAGAAUCAUGAUUUUAUUUUACUUUUAAUCCAGGGUGAAUUAGCUAGCUAAGUAAUCUAAUUUCUUGUUGGAUUAUGUAAGUAAUCUUCUAAUUUUGAAUACAAAAUAAAGUAGUCAUUUACUUUACAAAAUGGUGAUAUGGUGAUUUUUUUUUUGGGGUCAUCAAUGGAUAUGUUGAAUACAAUACAAGACAAUAAAAAGGUGAAUUUCACGUGGAAUUGAGUAAAAGUUAAUUAUCCACAGUUGUGUGAUAUUGUGUGCAUAUGUAUAUGAGUUUUCAGUUACAAAUAUAGAUUCUCUUUGAAGAUAGCGAGAAGAUUAAGAAAAAACAAACAAUAUUUCUACAAAACUCAAGUGCCUGCAUCACUCCAUGGCUGGCUGUAUAUCAUUUAAGUCAACAAAAGCAAUAUUUUUUAGCCGACAAGAAUCUUUCGGACCAAGUUUUUUGUUUCCCCAUGAUCAUACUAUUCAAACUCAAAAGUUGUCUUCAAAUUUCAAUAUCCUGUUUUGUUCAAACUAUUGUUUAUAGUUUUUGACAUUUUCGUGAUGAUGCUCAAAUAAUUUUUUUUUCUUACAUAAUCAUUUAAACAGGAAAUUUUAAAAUAGUGUAGAGUAACCCCUUCCCAAAAACAAAAAAAAAAGAAAAAGAAAAUCAUGAAGGGUGAUUAAUUAAAUUGAAACUCAAGGUAAGAACAUUGAAGCUAUACAAGAAAAAAACGAGGUUGGUCAUGGCAGGACAUGGGACAGAAAGAUAAGCCUAAACCAGGAGCGGCAAAAGCUGCCGUUUCAACCGUCAUGCGCUGCUGGAUGGUGGCGGUUCCGGCUUCCUCAAACUCCUUCACUACAGUGCUAUAAUACACUUUGAUCUUCUUCACGAGCCUUACGUAGUAUAGUCUCAGCCACUUGAGUCUCAUCCUCGUCACCACCUUCUUUACCGAGAACCUACCACGUGCCCACGUGCUGUUUUUCCCGCCGAGACGCACUACUUGCGGCUUACGCCGACGGAGAUAGAUCUUCCGGCGACUUGACGGCCACCGGAAGGCGUUAGAGGCGGCAGUGAUAACUAAAUGAGGAUCCAUUGUUGAACUCUCGAUAGAGAGAAUUUUAUAGAUGAAAGAAAGUGAAAGAUGAUUUAUGGAGUUCGUUCGAUUGAGAAACUUAACAUAUAUAUAUAUAUAUAUAGAGAGAGAGAGAGACUAACAAGAGUCGUGAAAUUUUGUUAUGUGGUUACAAAUUAUGACAUAAAAAUAAUAUAAUAUGAAAUAAUAUUGCGUAAUUUCCGUAAGAACUCUAAUAAGAUCGUAUGUCCAAAUCAUAAACCAUAUGUAGUUUUUGUUGUUAUACGACAUAUAUUCCAUUUAUUUAGGAGGAAUGCCCUAUAUACCACGACAUUUCACUUGUGCCACUCAUUUUUCAUAAUUUAUUUUGGUGUGUAUAGAAAAUAUUAAUGUACAUAUAGUAAAUUACGGUAAAUGCCAAGGAUAAACAAGCUGGAACAGGGAAAAAUUAGAUAGAGAAAUUGGAGACUAGCAUGUUAUAUAAUUUGAGACUAGCAAGUUAAAUGAUGCGAGAACUCAAGUUUCAUAUAUAGAGAUCGUUGAUCAAUAUCAAACGGUGAUUAAGAAGACGAGUAAGUAGAUAACAAGCAAGAAGACCAGUAAGUAGACAAUGAGUAAAGAAGAGCAGUUAGUAGAUAACAAGCAAGAAGACCAGUAAGUAGAUAAGCUUAAACAAAGUGUAUGUCUUAGCUGUGAUCUGGAGAAGACGACGAACAUAGUUACGUUUGCGCAAGGGACCCCUCAGUUUGUCUUAUAUUACAUAGAAAGUCCACUUUUAGUUCAAUUUUCUUAAGUUAAAAAAAAAAACACCCAAAUUCAUUUCACCGGAGAAAAUGAUGUUUGUUUGUUUCUUUCUUGACUUGUGAACAGUUUUGUGUGUGCGUUAAUUAAUGGACGGCUAGUGUUUAUUCAUUUUUAUUUUAUUUUUAUAUUUCUGGUUUGAUGUUGACUUAUGCUCUCGUACUAUUUUUUUGCUCUUAUAUACACGAUUUAUUAUCUUUAAUCGUUUUAGUGUAUUAAAUUGACUAAUGCAAUAGCAUUUUGGCUAAUUUAUGCACAAUCCGGCGAAAACUUAUAUUUUCUCUAUUUUUAAUUAGUUUUCUAGAGUUAAGAUCAUGUUUUAAAUUAGUUGUCAUUAUAUACUUUCAAUGCAAAUAUUCGAAUUUUUUGUAUUUUGUUUUCAUUUUUUUAUUGUUUUCACUAAUAAAAAUCUAAAAAUAUAUUAAAAAAUAAAAUAAAAUGUUAAUUUUUUUUUUAAAAUUUGUGUGCAAAAACCUUGAACAAUAAUUAAUUAAAAAUAAAAGGAAUAGUAAUGUGCAGAUUUAUUUUGCAUAUGUAAUAAAUCAGAAACCAAUUAAGAAUAUAAGUUCGUAAAUGGGUUUGAGAGCCAGACAUAUGAAUAUAUGAUUUAUUACAGUUGAACUGCUGACCAAACUGAUAUAAGUAAAAAAAAUUCAAGCAAGCUCUCAACUUAUUUUGAAGCAAAAAAAUAAUUUGUGAAAGAAGAAAGAAAACAGAAGGCUCCAAACAAAAAGGUGUAUAUGGUCCAGUAGGCACUAAUAAUAGUCACCCAUUAUUAAUGUUUGAAGCAAUAAAUUAAGGGUACAAAAUUUAAAUUCUCAGGCCAAUUAGUCAGACUAAUUUAGUCCAUCACCAACUCUGCUGAAUACACACACAGACACACAGUUACAAAAUCAAUUGGUAAAGUAGAUAAAUGUUUGAUGAGUCCACACAUUUUGGUUUGGUUAGAAGAAAACAUCAUUCUAAUUAUGUUUUAGAAUCUCAAAUUCAAAGUAAAACACACGGUAAUUUUUUCGAAUUGGAAUCGUUUGUUUUAUUUCAUCGCCAAACCCGGACGGAUGCAUGAAAAUCAAACAAGAAUCUAAAAGUUUACAAAUGCCAAUCGAUUUUUUCUGGUCAUUCACCCCAUGCCCCAUGCAGAGACCGAGGGGCUCAAUAUUGAGUAUACAGAUCAUCGGCCCAUUAAACAAACCCGAUAAGAUGUCAUUUCGAACCAGAGCCCAAUGAUCAUUCAGAAGGACUGAGCAGAUGAUCCCUGACCCCAUUGGAAGGCCACCGGACUCUUAACCACGUGAUCACCGUCUGUCCAUUCGAUCGACCCGAAUUCUUGACCCGGCAUGGAUCCGACUCCUCCGCCAAGCACAACGCUCUUAAACGUCACUUCAUACUCCAGCUCCCUCUUCUCCUUGCUAAACACUAGCUUGCUCGGAGACACUUCUAUCUCGACAUUCGCCGGUGAUUUCACUCCCACUUCGUACACCGCGUCCACGUUGCUUCCCACGUUUUUAACAACUCUUCUGUAUUUCGCUACCUCUCCCGUCGAUCCGAAAACCACGGAGAAUGAUGGAUAGUUGAGAUCUCCGGCGGUUCUGAGCUUGCUCGUUUCGCACGCGUCGUAAAGACUUGGAUCUUGAAGGAAGACUAGAAUCCCCGGAAACUCGUAUCCAACAGCGCAUAGGAAAGCCACGUAUUCUUUCACUUCAAUGUCGUAAACCAAACCAGGAUUCAGAGCUUUGUUUGGAUCCACGUGUCCAGCUCCGUGGAUGAACGGGUUCGAUGAUUUCCCCGUGGCGAGAUCCUCGAUUGCUUCGCCGGAGUUUUCGACAUCGUAAGCGGUUGUUACCAGUGCCGAUUUGAUCGCCGCAGGUGACCAAUCGGGAUGAGCUUUACGGAGGAGUGCGGCCAGCCCACUCACGUGUGGGCACGACAUCGAUGUACCCGAGAUGAUGUUGAAUUGGACCCGUCUUGGAUCGAUAUCUAAAUCGGUUGGACCAACCAUCCCGGUCCAACCGGCUAAAAUGUUGACUCCAGGCGCAAUCAUGUCCGGUUUGAGGAUAACCGGGGUCAAAUGGUUUGGUCCACGGCUAGAGAAAGCAGCGACUCUGGGAGAAGGCGGAGAUGGUCCGAUCAAAGUGCCUAGGAAGCUGAUAGUUGCGGUGGGAGAGUUUGAUGUUUUGAUGUAGUCGCGGAUUUGAUCUCCAGCUUUAGCUCCAACCAUUGUCGCUGGAACAAGAUGCGAAUCGGCUGUGAGUUCUUCACCGCUUGAGGCUGUGUUCGCUAGAAUCAUACCUGCACCACCGGCUAGUUUGACGGCCCUUCCUUUUUCAACUCUGGCGCUGCCUCCUCUGUCACAUAGAACAAUUUUGCCUUCAACCAAUGAUGAAUUCAAUUCCCCAACGGAGCACAAUCUGCUUCCGCAAUCGCCGGAAUAUACCAGAGAAAUUUGAGAAUCCGGCAGAGAUUCGCCUGCGUACAAUGAUGUUCCCGUGAAGACUUUCCCGUCGCCAGUGAUUACGUUUGCCGAGAAUUCUCUAUCUACGGUGGACGCACCGACGGUUAAUAUCCAAGGAGCGAUGUUCGUCGCAGUUUCGGGACCAGGACCAGAGUUACCGGCGGAGCAAGAAACGACGAUGCCGUGCCUCGUCGCUCCAAAUGCUCCGAUCGCUAUAGAAUCCCUGUGAUACUCCGGGGCGGAACCGCUUGCCCCGACGGAGAGAGAGAUAACGUGAACACCGUCCGCAACUGCCUGUUCCAGGGCGGCGAGGAUAUCGGAGUCGUAACAGCCGCUGCUCCAACAGAUUUUGUAAGCGGCGAUUCUAGCCUUAGACGCCAUCCCACGCGCCGUUCCCUGCGCGUAAUGGUACAAACUCGCGUUAGCAACCACCGAUCCAGCCGCCGUAGAUGCCGUAUGUGUUCCAUGACCUUCUGUAUCGCGCGGUGAUCUCGAUUCCUUCGCCGCAUGCAAUUUUGUUCCGUUCCGUCGCGUUAAAUAUCCUUUGUAAUACGCUCGAGCUCCGAUAAUUUUCCGGUUGCAAGAUGAGGCGGGAAAAUCAGGUCCGGUCUCGCACUCGCCUUUCCAGGUAGAUGGAACUGGACCGAGAUCUGAAUCCGAGAAACUCGGAUGCUCCGGCCAGAUUCCAGUAUCUAGAACUCCGACGAUCACGUCUUCGCCGUCAUCAGAGUUGCUCCAGAGACCAGUAUUUUGGGAGAAACCGAGGAAGGCAGGCGUGUGGGUGGUGUGAAUCUGACGCGCCUGAUCUGGGGUAACGGAGAUGACGGAAGGAUGACGGCGGAGUGCGGCGGUAUGGAGAGAGGAGAGACGAGCGGAAAAACCAUGAAGGACACGUGAGUAAGAGUAGAGGAGCGUUGCUGGUUGAGGAGAAGAAGGGAGAGAGCGGAGGAGUGAGACGUGCCAGUGAUUGUGGGAGGAGAAGAGGGAAGGCUUAUGAGAGCUCUGCACAUGGACGAUGUAGGAUUCUAAGCCAUCCGAUGAAGAAGAAGAAGAAGAAGAAGAAGAAGAGGAGGAUAAGAAACAGAGGAAGAGAGAGAAGACGAAGAAGGAGGAGGAGAGAGAGAGCUUAGCCAUGGCAAUGGCUAUGAGAAGAAGAAGAUUCGUUGAGUGGGAUACUUUUGUUAGUGACGUAUUUAUUUAUCUCUUUGAGGCUUCUGAAUCUUGUAUUUCGUCUAUAUUCCACGUCACCAAUUUAUGAAUUAUUGGUCCCAAAGAAAUGAUAUUCCCAAAAGAUAACAUAUCAAGGAAGAGACGUGGGUCACAUGACUGGUUUAAUGUUGACACGAGCAAAAUAAGUUUCUUUUUUUUGCGGUUAUAAAAAUGGGCAGGUAUAACAAAAGGCCAAACCAACCAAUAAUAACAGCCAAACAAACACUAAAAAAAGAUUCAAAAUUAUGAACUCUCUCACGACACAUAUUUUGGUAUACAAUAAGCCUCUGAUUAGUUUGUGGUUAGAGACUAAACAAAGAUUAUAUAACUUUUUUGUUAAGCAGCCCAUGGUAUGAAUCCCAUGGCGCAACUGAGCCUAAAAGUGACGAAUAUCAGAUAUAGUGAAAUGAGUCCCAUACCUAAGGUUUUGUUAGGUCGCAUGUCGUUGCGCGGGAGUAUCACCAUUGCCCAAACCAAACCCAGUACUAAAAACCCAAGUGUGUAGAACAGGCUUUUGUCUUCUGGUAGCAUGUAUGUGUCUGGACUCUUGGACCAUGCGCCAAAAAGCAUCGACAUACCGAGUCCGACCAGUGUGUUGAACAUCGGACCUGCAUAGCAUCCUGAUAGAGCGAUUUGUACACCAUCCCCACCGCUCAUAGUCAGUGCGAUAUUCGACACUAAGUCACCCAUUGAGUUUCCCCAAGCAAGUACUGUUAACGCAAGUAUUGACGGGUUAAUUCCGUAUAUUUCACCAAAUGUCACCAGAAGAGCAACAAGUUCAUUUGCAAUCAUGUAGAACCAUACGAUGCUCAUGAUGAACCCACCAAGAACCCAAGGGAUCAAGAAUCUUCGAGGUGGGUGAUCAGGUUCUGUGUUUUUGUAAGCAAGAAAUCCAAGAGUAGAGCCUAUAGCAACGCUUAUAAAGUAAGCCACACCACAACCUUGAGCACUCACAUCGUCUUGGCUACUCCAGAGAGACGCCAAAAGGAUAGGCGCUAAUGAGACGCUGGCCACAGCGUAUGUCUUAGACCAUGUAUCUUCCUCGACUGAUGGAAUUGUUAACCUCCUUGGAAUCGUCAGCGGGAUUUCUAACAAGGAAGUGAAUUUAUUACAUGAGGAGCUCUCAACUUCUGUACUGUCAUCAAUCCAUCCCCAAGGUGGCCUGUCUUCAUCAUGUAAACUAACUUUUGCGAAAUGGUUUGAAUAGAUGGCCACAUUUGACGCCCACAUCCACUGAGGAAGACUCUGUAGCCGAGGUGGACCUUCCUCAGUUUCAGUUUCAAUCAAGGGGUUAUGCAUUGGCAUAUCCUCUCCAACACUCGGGGAAAACACGCUUCCUUGCAUAGGUAGCAACGGAGUAAUAGCCUCUAGUUUAAACCUCUUAGCAUGUUUUCUCAGAAUCACAUUCGCUGCAACAAGGAAAGCAUACACCACAUAUAUAGACACAAACGCAAUGGCAAUCCUUACUGUGACUUUACCAACCAUCAAAAUCACCAGCAAAGACACGAGCGUGAAAAGGAAGAAACUCAAGUCUCUGAUGAAGCAUUUCUUAUCGAUCUUGACUUCCUUAUCGGCAACACAGAGCGAAACAAUCCCAACAACAACAGAGGUAACAAACACAGCACCACCCAAGACGCUGUUAAGACCAACUUCUCCUUUAUCUGUUCCAACAAAAGCAGCAAUGCUUGCAAACACAUCUGGUGCUCCAUUACCAAGUGGAAGCAAAGUAACACCAGCAAGAGUUGGAGGCAGCCUCAAAAGCUUAGAAAGCUUCUCCAAGGAACAACAAAAGUAAUCGGCAGCAGUAUUGCCCAAGAGAUAAAACAAAGCAACAAGCCAAACAGCCAAGAUCAUGUAACCCAAGAUGCUGAAAUUUCUGCAGGAGCAGUAAAAAAAGUUGAGGUAAUCAAAGAAUCCAUCAGGGGAACAACUUGGGUUUGCUUUUAAGAACUCGCAUUGAUCAGCAUAUCCCAUGUGUCUGUGUAACCCGGAGCAUAAAACAGUAUUGCUGCUACUCAAGCUGCUAUUGCCAGAACCAUUGGUUUCAAUUUCAGUCACAUGCCUACGAAUUACCGUAAACUGGGUGAAUUUACCUCCGGAGGUCGAACCACUGCCGCCAUUGACGAAAGAAACGUCUUUCAACAAAGGGUUCCUGAGAAUAUCGCUCCGAUCAAAGAAGAAGCAAAACAGAACGAGAGCACAAAUCCCAUUAAAAACCCCUCGGAAUCUGGGGUUUUUCGAGCUGUAAAGAAAACUCAAUGCGCUCAUUUUCAAACCUUAUAUCAACAACAACCAACCAUCGAUGAUCAUAAACCCUGAACCUAACCGAAUGAGAAAGGGGGCUAGGGUUUCUAACACGGUAUUGAAAUUUUGAACAAAAAAAAAAGAAAAGAACCCUAGGACCCCCAGGGGAAACGCAAUUGAGGAUCAGGUUGUAAAUCUGGAAUGAAACUUGUCGUCGUAUUGAAACCUGGGGAUUGAAAGAUGGCAAAAGAACUUGGCGAAAUGCAACAAUGGUGUAGAAUCUGCGCCUGUCAAAACAAUGGUGAUCAGGUUUAAUUUGACACGGAAUCAUUUCAAACGACAGACGUGGCAUUCUUUUCAUUUUUAUUUUUGUUAAAAUUAAAAUAUUUUAGCAUAUCUACAAAUUUAACUUUAGAACGUUCCGAUCGGUAUUUUAUUUCUCGUAAGCACGACUUAAAAAACGUGUAAGCCGGAUUAUUAAAACGACAAUAAUUCAUUCAGCUGACAUCGCCUAGAGAGUGAAGAUACUACUUAGUCGUGUGAUAAGGCCUUCAAUUCAUUAUAUCUGUACAUUUCCGACUAUUGGAUAAACAAAAAAGGAACUUUCAUAAAGAAGACAGUCGAUAAGUAGUGUACUGUAGUAUUUACAACUGCAAAAUACAUUCUUUACCGCCAAAAAAGGAAGGAAAAAACAAGAAGAGGAGCUUUUAACAUUUAAGGAUGUUCAACUGUUAGCUCAUGUAUUAGCCGUUCGAUCUGUCGUCUGUAGACAGGCAUGAAAUGAUCGCUUAUCAUCCUCUGUGAUAACCUCACUUUACUAUACAAUGACCUUGGCGUCAGAAAUAUUCCUACUCUUCCCUCCUCCACAGUCUCUACUACUGUCUCAGCCCUCUCCAGUGCACAACUGUCUUCUUCUUCUUCGUUAACCUCUACGGCCUCCCCCCGAACUGUGACAAUAUGCAUUAUUUUACCCGCCGGGAGGAACCUGCGCGACUCUUUCAUGUCAGCCGUCUGGCUCUCAGGUGGAGCCACACCAGCCUCUGCAAUGACAGCUUCUUCUUCUUCUUUGAUUUCUUUUGCCACAUCCGUUUCUUCAGCUUGCUCUGAAGACUCGUGGUAAAGGUCAUGCUCCAGUUGCUCCCAUAGCUCCGCUUCAGUCAUCCGCUCUUCGCGUGUUUCGAUUUCAGCUGGAUCCUCACACUCAUCAAGAUCGGUGGCUCCCAGACGAGCAGAUGUUUCAUUGUAAUUAGAAGAACACUCAGCUUCUGAUUUCCAUUCCCUGGUUAUUUCUUCAUCCGUAACAAGAAGAGGGUCUGAAGUUUCAGGUAAAUCUUGUGACAUUGCUUCAGAAGAAUCUAACUGAUGUUCCGAGUUUGAUUGAGUAGCAGAGGGUCUGCGCCGAGGUCCCAUACAGGACCAAGAAGAUAUGCUUAGUGCAGGACGGGUCAGCAUGCUUUGAGCUCUUCUCAUCACAACCUGCAGGAGUUUUGUUUUAUUUUCAAAAUUCUAAAAGACUUAAUUUAAUGUCAGAAGCAAAUUCAGUGUUGUUUAUUAUUACCUGUGUGCCACUAGAAACUGGGCGUAACAUUGCACCAGCACCGGCAACUUUUGCUUUGGCAGUGGCCAUAGAUGGCAGCCGUGAUCCUAAAGCCGUCGCUGAGCGAUAAACUGUACUGAGAAUUCUUGUCCGUUCGAUUUGAUUUCUCAGAUCAUUUAGCCAAGCAGAUGCUGUUACCUGAAGAGGUGGAAAGGGGAGAACAAAUGGUUUCUCUCAAGAAAAUACAAUAAAUGAUUUCCCAAGUAUAUAAAGAAGCAUAGAAUAUAGGGUCUAGGAAGCUAACCUCAGCACGCAAGUCAUCUACUGCUGCAGCAGAAAAUGUAGGCACCAGAUCAGCUCCGUUUAUGACAGAUACAAUGAAGUCAUUCCCAGAGUCGGCUAAUUCCCAAGUCAUACAGGCAGCUGAAGAACAUAGGAACAAAAGCUCAGUCUUAUAUCUUAAGAAGGUAUCAACAGAUAUAACUGAAAAUUAUUUUGGAUGAAAAACCUGGGGCAAAUGUAACACAUGUAGCUGUAGAGAGCAUUUUCUGUUCCCGCAAAAUAUAUGUUAGAAGUGCAGCUGUUCCACCGCCCAAAGAGUGACCUACGAUCUGCCAAAAAAAUGCAGAAAAAUGUCAAUAUAAGGGACUAGAGACAGUCUUUAGUUUCUCACAUAACAGGUUUUAGAAAAAGGUGAAAUCAAGAAUAGAGAAGCGGCUAUAUAAAGUACCUUGAUUUUGUAAUCUGGAUAUUGCUCAAGACCCUUGAGAAGACAAGGGGUGGCAAGUUUUGCUAUACACCGGGCAGCAGCAACCAUACCACAAUGUGCAUAUCCUAAGACCAAAUUGCUGACUCCCCUCUCGUUUACAACAGUAUGAUGGAAUGGUACAAUUGCUCCUGUUGCAGCUGUCAAGGUGUCCUUGAUGCUAUGCGUUCCACGGAUCAACAAUAGAAAACAUUUUGUGUUGUGAUCGACGAGAACUGUAAAAGCUGGCUUCAAAAUCUACAUGAUGCAAAAUUCACAAACUAAUACUCAAUUUCUAUUGAAAAAACGUGCCUAAGAGUAGAGAGUUGUUAAAGUUUUACCCCAGCUUUGGGUUCGUGAAUAAGGACGUUUUCCUUUGUAAAGCCGGUCUCUUCUAAGAACAAUGGAAAUGGCUUCUUGGAAAAAUGCCAACACAAUGUCAACAAGUGCAAAAGAUAUCUGAGUUCAGUGGCUACUUCAGGUCCUUUAAGCUCUAUACUAUCUUUACCACCAAAGACACGAUCAACAUGUAGAAGUCCCUGGGAUUUUUAGACAUACAAUGCAAAAUUUUCAAUUUUGACCACAAGAUAAUUGAUAAAAUCUAGAACUUGUUAUCGUGAAAGAGAUCAAGAGAUGUUUACCUGCCUCUUGAGGAGAAAAUUGAUCCCAAAAGCAAGAUCUCCAAUAGGCCACUUCCCAAGAGUCUCGGAGUAAGUAAAACGAAGAGUCUCAGAAAGAGUAGAAAUUGUCUCCAACCAAGUCGCUGGAGCUUGGAUAAGCCUAUGCGAAACACGGUCAAUCCUCAAAGAAGUACGAGUCUCAGAAUUCUCAUCAUCAACAUCAGAUGGACCAGCUAUUAAUUUCCGAUUCAAAGUGUAAUAUAGAAGAGCAGCUGCUCCAGCUGCGGUUGCCAUAGUUGCAGUUGCCAUGACCAACCUAUCCCUAAAACAUCAAUGAAACGAUUCAGUACCAGAAAAAGUAACGAAAAUUACUCAAUUGCUCAUUAGAGCUUAGAUGUCGAGUAAUCUAAAGACGAAACUAAGUCUAAAAUUAAAACAAAAUCGAUCUAACUACAUUGGAUGCUACAAUUUCGAUCUCCAGCACCAGAAUCUCCAAAAUCAUGAAAAGCUAGACAAUUGGAAUACAAUUUCGUAGAAAGGAACAUUCUUUUUUUUUUUCCACGAAAUAUCCCCAAAAGAAAUAAAAACACAAACUUGGGGUAAAAAAGACAGCUACCCAUAAAUAGAAAACUCUCACUUUCCUGAAAUUUCUCGAAUAACAUAACAAACCCUACUCUUGAUAAGUAUUCGCGUUUUCAACCGAUGCAAACAAUCUGAAAUUGAACACGAUUGCGAUUGCAAAGGAACAGGAUCCGUGAAGUAAAGAAACAAAACCCUAAAAUCGAAUCGUAAGAACACGAAAUAGAACCUGGAAAAGUAAGACGAAAUUGUAGGGUUUUUUACAACAGUGGAGAAGGGUUAAACGGUUGCUUCAGCUUGUAUGUACGAUAUAUCCGGGAAGGGGGCUUUCUCUCCGACGACGACGACGAUGAUGAUGAUUAGCUACAAAAACGUGUUGCCAAGUGACAAACUGAUUUCGAUUUUGCUUUAAAUAAACUGCGCUACGUUUUUAUGCUGAGCAAACGCCGCGUAGUUUCGCGCCGCCAAGAUCUGGUGCUAACGUGGCCAUAUAUUAGUGGACGCUUAAUUACAUAUGUAAACUGUAUAUAUGAGAAGCCACAUGUACAUACAUAUAUAGUUCAAUCCUUUAGAAAUCAAAUUAGAACACAGUCACAACACAGAUACAAAUUAAAAAAAUAUUGAAAUUUGUAAAUUAGAAGAAUUAACUAAAUGUAGAUUUUUUUAUGUUCACUCAUUUUUUUCCUCACAAGUCACAAAUAUGGUAAAUAAAUAUAUUUUGGAAGAAGAUAAAACACAAAUUCCCAAUUUGUUAAUAAUAUACAUAUUUGAGAGGGAAAAAAAUUAAUAUUUAAUUGGGAAAGUGGCUGAAGUAUAAUUUAUCGAGUUUAGAGAAAUCUCGGACACUUGAGCUCGCGUAGUUUCUUCGAAUUUUCACACCCAAGUGUGAUCGGAUCUGGGUUUUAUAUAUUUUUUUUGACGAAUCCGUGUCCCAAUCUUCGAUCUGGUGUAGAAAGUCCCAAUUUUUUUUUUAAUCCCUUAUCUCAAUUUAAACCCUUUUAGUCAAAACCCUAAUUUCCGCCUUUCUAUCAGAAUUUCGAGGAGUAGCCCAAUCGUAUAAUAUAAUCUCUUCAGCUAGAAUCUGAGCUCAUUAUUCCGGUUUGUGUUUUAUAGAAAAGACCGAAACUUUUCGUCAAUUCCAAGCGGGGACAGAGUCAGUGAGCGAUGUCUUGGGCUGGUCCUGAGGAUAUCUAUCUUUCAACCUCACUCGCUAGUUAUCUCGAUAGUAAUCCGUCCCUCUUUCCUCUCUGAUUUACAUGCAUUCGCGGAGCUUUUUUUUCUUGCCAACAAUUCAGUGUUGCUUGCGUUUGAUUUUUUGAGUUCUUAAUUGAUAAUUAGGCUGUACUGUAUUGUUCUGCUUCCUUAUUCAAAGCUUUGUCAAUUUUGCUGUUGAAUUGUCACAAAGAGACACUCUUUGAUUAAUAGAUUCAAUCUUCAAAGCUUUUAGUUUAUUUGUUGUGUCAAAUCUGUAUGUUCUUCAGCUAAUUAUGUUGAGCUUUUAGCAUGCAUAAGAUAUAAUGUGAUGAGAUUGCAUUUCACAUUCUUGAUUCAACUUCUGGAGUGACACUCGUAACCUGUGUCGAAUUUGAUUCAUUAUCGGCUGUAGAAUCCAAAUUCGACUUCUUUUCGAUAUGUUUGAAGAUUCAGAAUCCUCAUUUUGCAGAUGUUUUUCAGACCUCAUUUAGAGUUAGGUUUGCUUUUAGCUUUCAAUCAAUGUACAUCAGCUACUUAUAUUUGUUGGCUCUGUUCUUGACGAUGCAGGAAAACUACUUGUGCUCCUUAGAGAUGGUAGAAAGCUGAUGGGAACACUCCGUUCUUUUGAUCAAUUCGGUACUCACAUUUCUCUUCAUGCUCCUACAUUAUUAUGGCAUUGUUUAUAGGAGAGAGAGAUUUAAACUGUAAUUUGUUUGUUGUAAAUUCAUAGCCAAUGCGGUUCUAGAAGGUGCGUGCGAGAGGGUAAUUGUUGGUGAACAAUACUGCGACAUUCCUUUAGGCCUCUAUGUAAUCCGUGGAGAGAAUGUUGUCCUGAUUGGUGAGCUGGUAAGACUUCUCUUUUCUUUUUCUUUUUUUUUUCUUUUUUGGCUAUCUCACUUUGUGUUUUCCAGAUCACUGAGUUAGCAUUAAACCAUGUGUGUUAGGACACGGAGAGAGAAGAGCUUCCUCCUAAUAUGAUUCGCGUUUCAGAGGCAGAGAUUAAAAGGGUAAGGCGUCACAUCACAUGUUCUAACUUUCACAUAUAUGUAACAAAUUGAGCAGUAAGAUUUGUUACAUGUGAUGUUGUGUGCGUACUGAUGAUUUGGUUUUGGGAAACUUUCUGUGUUGGUUUAGGCGCAAAAGGUGGAGAGGGAAGCGAGUGAGCUGAGAGGAACAAUGAGGAAGAGGAUGGAGUUCCUUGACUUUGAUUAAACCAGAUUGCGUCCCCAUUCAUUCUUGGCUUGAUGCUCUGCUUUGGCUCGCAAGUUUUAUGAUGAGCCUUUUUUGUGUGUUAAUUUAGGGGAUCGACGCAAGUCUUUAUGUUUCAUUUUGGAAGAAAAUAUGACAAAAAAUAAUCUCUGUCUACUUCUGUCUUCGGAUCUAUAUUAUCUUUUCAAGAGAAAAAUAUUUUGGAGUUUUUUUUUCCUCAUCUUGGAAAUUAUGUAGAGAUUGGAUGAUAUCUUACCGAAAUCAAGACUUUUAAGACUAUUCGGUUUUGAAUUUGAGGUUCCGAGAAGCCUAAACGUUGGCUAACACUUGCAGUAAACAGACUUGCUAUGGUUCUGCUUCCCAGGAUAGAUACAAGAUAUGCAAGAAGGGUUAUAACCAAACUGCACAGACAGAAACGAAAAUGGAGCAAAAAAAUAGAAGACGUGGAACAUUGCAAAAUUUACAUGGUACUUGUUGGUUCUGUGACCAAUCAGGACUUUGGUUAAAAGAAGACAUAGAAGACAUAUAACACAAACAACAACACACAAAUAUAUGUUUACCUGGAGAUUAUUCCAUCGGGCUGAAACCUUGUGAAUAACAGGUCUAUUCUAUGACAUCCUAAAGUGGGACGUGGCUGAAAAAAAAAAAGAAAAAAAAAAGAAGAUGAAUGUUCGUUUUCUUGUUAUCUUCUUUUAUCGCCUCCUCAAGUGUGGUGGUGUAGUAUAUCCUUCGAAGAAAUCUAGAACGAUUGUCUCGAUAUCUUCAACCGAGUAUUUCAAGUAGUUCUCGGGGUGUCUUCCACUCUCUAUAUGACCCCUGAACCUUCCAAGAAACGAUCUGUAAGCCGGGAUAAGAUGCUCAGAUAGAGAUAUUCGGAGUUCCUCUCUAAGCUGUACAUCUGGAACCGACCAUGUAGACUGAGUCCUGUGAACCUCUUCGAACAUUGUAUUGAAUGCCUUAAACCUUUCUCUCAGUGCGCUUUUUGAUACACCUGAUGAGAAACUCCCAGUCACAUGUAAUCCUUCAUCUCUCAGGCUAUUCAGUACUCUCACCCAUGUAGCUCUCUGGUAGUUUGUAGCAGCAUGUCUAAAUAUCCCAGUGAGUUUCCUUAAAUAAUGGUCUCCAAUCAUUUCUCUUAGCUCAGGCGACCUUUUCACUUUCUGAACGAUGUAAUGGAUGUUGUUCAUGAUGAAUAUGUGAGCUAGAGAUGUGUCUCUAUAGUGCUUGGAUUUCUCUUCUAAGUUGAAAUGCAAGACCACGAUCAACCAAAUCAAAUGCAAAUCCAAUGGAGAUUUACUCUCUAACUCUGUGAAGUCCAUAUCCGGUGCAUUUGGAUCAGAGCCAGUAGCGGGAUUCGACAUGAUAAGCUCAUCCAGCGUUUGCUUAUAAUCAGAGAUCAUAACAAUGUAGUUCAUCACAUACCUUGUCAAUGGAUGAAUCGUUCCUCCAGGGACAGGAACUAUGGAAGGCUCACGAAGAACAGCAUUCUCAAACUCGGAAAGUAUACCUCUAGCUGCUUCCGCUAGUCUCGCUUGAAUCUCAACGGCCUGAACCCUAAUAGUAUCUGAUGAAUCUGAGUCAAAGAUUGCUUCUAUAUCAGGCAACAUAUCCGUUAAGGCAUCGUGUAAAUCCAGAAUCUUGAAAAGCUUGUCAGGUGAUCUUCUACUAAUGCUAAUAGCUUCAGGGAAAGUGAAAAGUCUCAGAGCAGAAGCCUUCACUGUCUCCAUGAAGCAAGUCUCAUCCAUGGCAGUGCAUAUACCAUCAAACAGCUGCUCACAUAGCCUCUUCUCACUGGAGAAUACAAUCCUAAUACAGACCUUAGCAGCACGGAUCCAGUGUCUGAUCUUGCCUACAACAGCUUCCCAGUCAAGCCUCUGCACAUCUCCGAUGCUUAUCUUCACAAUCCCAAGCUGCUUAAAUAUGGUUUCCAUGGCUGACUUCCGAACAGUUCCGUAGACUUGGAUACACUCACGAGAGUAACCGGCGGCGACCAUUCGCUGAACAAUCGAUCUAAGAUCAGAGAUAGCCUCCGGAGUGAUAAGAUCCAUUUCUCGUAUGCUGCUCGUGGAUCUGUAACUGCUUCUUCUACGAGUUAAGCGGCCAGAACCGGAACCACCAGGGGAGUUCAACUCCUCUUCUUCGGGAGUUGCGGAGCUAUCAUCAUCUCCAGCCUCGACGCAUAAAGACGGAGAGACUGAUGAUUCCUCGAGAAAAAGUGAAUCAGGCUCGAAAACAGUUGUGUGGGAGAGAAGAAUGUUACGGAACUCGUCUUCGAGUCUAGCCAUGGCGAUUUGGAUAGCUGAGUUAGCUUUGACCUCGUGGUCAUCGACGGCGGCGGCGGCGGAGGAGGAGGAAGAAGAAGAGAAGGAGAUAGAAGAUAAGGUGCGCUGGAUUUCAUCAACGGCUCGUAGGAACCGAUCGACUUCAUCACGAUCGCUUUGGAAAAUCAUCUUCCCUCUUGCUUCCUCAGACGCCGCUGAGUCCCACCGGAGUAUAAUCCUCUGCGCACUCUCUAACUUCGAACCAUCGGAAUCUAUACUAUUCUCCGGCGGUUCCAUCUAUUAAUCAAUCAGACAAACAACAACAACGACAAAAUUCAAAAAAACAGAACAAAAAAAAAAAAAAAAAAAAACAAGAAGAACAAAAUUGAGUCAUUCUCACUCACCUCCACCGAUUCAAAUUAGGUAUUCUUCUUCGGAGAUUGGUCGAUUUCUUUUUGGUAAGAAACCACUUCGAUUGUUUUUUUUUUUUUUUUUUCCUUACUUUCUUAUCACAAGUCUUUAUUAGUCAUAUAAGGCAAAGCUGUCUGAUUGUAUUGUUUUUUUUUUUUUUUAAUUUUCCAUUUUGGAAGUUUCUGCGAGAGAGAGUUGGGAAAUCGGAAAAGAAAAGAAAAUAAAGAUCAAUCUCUUUGGACUUUUCAACUCCUCCUCCCUCUUGUGUGUAUACGUUUGCCAAACAAUUCAGAAUUACUCGCCGGCGGCGUAAAAAUGCCCGGUAAAAAUUAAAAUUUUUGGUCUGAAUAAAUAAAAAAUUGGGUGAGAGUCAGAGAGAUCUGUAAUGCUAUAAUGCCUAAAUGAAAAGAGACACAUAUCUAGAUAUAUCCAAUGCAAUCAUGUCUUAAUAUUAUGAUUAUCUUCCCAUUUUUUUUUUUUUUUUUUUUUUUAUAGUGGGAUCACUUACUUAAGCCAGUAAUUUUG